AAUCAUUUGUCUUUUAAAUGAAGACUUGUAUGAACGGCAAAACCUCCUCCAACUGUCUCCCCUCCCAUCCUUCCAAAUUUCCUCCUGUGUGAAGAAGCACAGAUAUACCAGAAAGACGAGAAGACCCUGUCGAGCUUUAGCCACUAAGUGGGCCUUACCCUUUCAGGCACCACCCAAAGGUUUUGGUUGGGGCAACCACGGAGAAAAAACAUCCUCCAGAACGAAUAGAAGAAAGCUUUUCACUAUUAUUGCGAUUAAGAACCAGGAACUGGUAUUCGGAAAGAGUUACCGCAGGGAUAACAGCGUCAUCUCCUCUAAGAGUCCUUAUUGACGAGAAGGUUUGCGACCUCGAUGUUGGAUUGGGGCCCCCUUAGGGUGCAGAAGCUCUAAACGGUUAGACUGUUCGUCUAUUAAAGCCCUACAUGAUCUGAGUUCAAACCGGAG
rnacentral:rRNA from 1 species